UGAAGAGGGAAGGAGAAGCUAAGCUUUGUCCAGUUACUUCUAUUCACCGAUCUCAGAAGGGGAGCCCCCUCUUCGCUCUCUCUCUCUCUCUCUCUCCUUCUCUACUGGAAAAUCCAUAAUUUUUCAUCUUCCUCUGCUUUUCCUUUCUCUCCGCUCCCCAUAUCUCUCUCCGUGGAGCCUACAAACCAAGUAGUGACGGUCGACAAGCUUCAAACAUGGCGGAUGCGUACUGGAGGUACAGCGACGGUUGACAACCGCCGCCGUCGUCGACGAAUUCAGCCAUCGAAAAAGCAUCCUCCCUCUGAUUACAGAAGAUGUUCAACGAAUGGUGGAUACUGGUUUGAAGGCAUAUAAAUUUUCCAUCUCAUGGUCAAGACUUAUCCCAAACGGAAGAGGACCUGUCGAUCCAAACGAUGUAAGAUAUUACAACAAUCUUAUUGAUGAACUGAUCAGCCCAGGUUACAGUCUAUCUAAAUUAUGUUUCUACGGUUCCCUGCUUAUACUAUUAAAGAAAGAAAAUAUCACUUAGUGUUAAUAAUUUAGUAACUAUAUUACUUAUUAUUAAGAAUUUAGUAGCUAUAUUACUUAUUAUUAAUAAUUUAGUAGCUAUAGUGAUCUACAAUUCUUUAUGUUAAUAAUUAAUUAAGUUGUUUGUUUCAACCAAGAAUCGAACCACAUGUUACUUUACACUACAGUUAUCUCCCACAGGCACUUGACAAUGAGUGUGGGGGAUGGGUUAGUCGAAAAAAUAUGUUAGUUCCUAACAUUUAUGGGUGAGUUUUAAAUGGGACAUGCAGAAAAUGGGAUUUGCGAUGAUCAUGAUGAAACAUUUUUGUGGAUGUAGAAAAGACUUCACUGCAUCUGUAGAUACACGCUUAAAAAUUUUUGAGGAUAGAGUUUUGCAUUGGACUACAAUGAAUGAGCCUAAUGUUUUUAUACUUGGAGGUUAAGAUAUUGGAUUUCUUUCGCCACAGUGAUGUUCAGCUCCAUUUGGUGUCAACUGUUCUAGAGGUAACUCCUCAACCAAGCCGUACAUGGCAGCUCAUAAUAUCAUGUUAUCUCAUGCAUCAGCUGCUAGAUUGUACAAGAUAACGUACCAGGUAAUUGUCAAACUUUCACUGUCAAGGGCUUCAAGAACUUUUAUCUUUGUGAUAAUUAAUUAUAUACAAUCAACUUAUUAGUCUUCUGUCCUUAAACACAUAAUACUCUUGAUACAGUUGAUGUCUCACAAAUUAAGAAGAGAGAAUUGAGAGAAGAAAAAAAAGGCAAAUUAAGAGGGAAGAAGAAUAACUUUACUGGUUUUGUGACUAUCAUCAUUCUUUCAUAUUUUGUUUUUAUGUGUUAUGCACGGGCUUGCAUGUAUCUUUUUAAUUUUGUACACACUCCGAAUGGUGUUUUGACUUUAACGGUCUAACCCUACCACUAGAGGGAACUAGGGUAUCACUCCCCUAUGAAAUUAAAAAAAAAAUUCGCAUGUC